UACGUGGGGACCAAGCGUUGUUCGGAAUUACUGGGCGUAAAGGGCUCGUAGGUGGCCAACUAAGUCAGACGUGAAAUCCCUCGGCUUAACCGGGGAACUGCGUCUGAUACUGGAUGGCUUGAGUUUGGGAGAGGGACGCGGAAUUCCAGGUGUAGCGGUGAAAUGCGUAGAUAUCUGGAGGAACACCGGUGGCGAAGGCGGCGUCCUGGACCAACACUGACACUGAGGAGCGAAAGCCAGGGGAGCAAACGGG
rnacentral:rRNA from 1 species